AGCCAUGCGAGUCGAGAGGUGAAAGACCUCGGCAUACUGCUUCAGUAACACGUGGAUAAUCUGCCCUCAGGUGAGGAAUAAUCCCGGGAAACUGGGGCUAAUACCUCAUAGGAGACGGCUGCUGGAAUGCUCUGUCUCUGAAAGGUCUGCCGCCUGAGGAUGAGUCUGCGUCCGAUUAGGUUGUUGUUGGGGUAACGGCCCACCAAGCCUUUGAUCGGUACGGGUUGUGGGAGCAAGAGCCCGGAGAUGGAUUCUGAGACAUGAAUCCAGGCCCUACGGGGCGCAGCAGGCGCGAAAACUUUACAAUGCGAGCAAUCGUGAUAAGGAAACCCUGAGUGCCUGUUAUCGCAGGCUGUUCUGGUGUCUAACACGCACCAGGAGAAAGGGCGGGGCAAGACCGGUGCCAGCCCGCCGCGGUAAUACCGGCUGCUCGAGUGAUAGCCACUUU
rnacentral:rRNA from 1 species